rnacentral:rRNA from 1 species
AUUAAGCCAUGCAAGUCUAAGUACACACGGCCGGUACAGUGAAACUGCGAAUGGCUCAUUAAAUCAGUUAUGGUUCCUUUGAUCGCUCUACCGUUACUUGGAUAACUGUGGCAAUUCUAGAGCUAAUACAUGCCAACGAGCGCUGACCUCCGGGGAUGCGUGCAUUUAUCAGACCCAAAACCCAUGCGGGGCUGCCCUCCGGGGCUCCCCCCGCCCGCUUUGGUGACUCUAGAUAACCUCGAGCCGAUCGCUGGCCCUCGUGGCGGCGACGUCUCAUUCGAAUGUCUGCCCUAUCAACUUUCGAUGGUACUUUCUGUGCCUACCAUGGUGACCACGGGUAACGGGGAAUCAGGGUUCGAUUCCGGAGAGGGAGCCUGAGAAACGGCUACCACAUCCAAGGAAGGCAGCAGGCGCGCAAAUUACCCACUCCCGACUCGGGGAGGUA